CUACGGGGGGCACCAGUGAGGAAUAUUGCGCAAUGGACGAAAGUCUGACGCAGCCAUGCCGCGUGCAGGAUGACGGCGCUAUGCGUUGUAAACUGCUUUUAUAGGCCAAGAAACCUUCGGACGUGUCCGAAGCUGACGGUAGCAUAUGAAUAAGCACCGGCUAACUCCGUGCCAGCAGCCGCGGUAAUACGGAGGGUGCAAGCGUUAUCCGGAUUUAUUGGGUUUAAAGGGUCCGUAGGCGGAUCAUUAAGUCAGUGGUGAAGGCCGGCAGCUCAACUGUCGAACUGCCAUUGAUACUGGUGAUCUUGAAUACGGUUGAAGUUGGCGGAAUAGGUCAUGUAGCGGUGAUAUGCUUAGAUAUGACCUAGAACACCGAUUGCGAAGGCAGCCAACUAAGCCGUUAUUGACGCUGAGGGACGAAAGCGUGAGGAGCGAACAGGAUUAGAUACCCCAGUAGUC
rnacentral:rRNA from 1 species